rnacentral:rRNA from 1 species
UGUGUGUUAGUGGAAGCGUCUGGAAAGGCGCGCGAUACAGGGUGACAGCCCCGUACACAAAAAUGCACAUGCUGUGAGCUCGAUGAGUAGGGCGGGACACGUGGUAUCCUGUCUGAAUAUGGGGGGACCAUCCUCCAAGGCUAAAUACUCCUGACUGACCGAUAGUGAACCAGUACCGUGAGGGAAAGGCGAAAAGAACCCCGGCGAGGGGAGUGAAAAAGAACCUGAAACCGUGUACGUACAAGCAGUGGGAGCACGCUUAGGCGUGUGACUGCGUACCUUUUGUAUAAUGGGUCAGCGACUUAUAUUCUGUAGCAAGGUUAACCGAAUAGGGGAGCCGAAGGGAAACCGAGUCUUAACUGGGCGUUAAGUUGCAGGGUAUAGACCCGAAACCCGGUGAUCUAGCCAUGGGCAGGUUGAAGGUUGGGUAACACUAACUGGAGGACCGAACCGACUAAUGUUGAAAAAUUAGCGGAUGACUUGUGGCUGGGGGUGAAAGGCCAAUCAAACCGGGAGAUAGCUGGUUCUCCCCGAAAGCUAUUUAGGUAGCGCCUCGUGAAUUCAUCUCCGGGGGUAGAGCACUGUUUCGGCAAGGGGGUCAUCCCGACUUACCAACCCGAUGCAAACUGCGAAUACCGGAGAAUGUUAUCACGGGAGACACACGGCGGGUGCUAACGUCCGUCGUGAAGAGGGAAACAACCCAGACCGCCAGCUAAGGUCCCAAAGUCAUGGUUAAGUGGGAAACGAUGUGGGAAGGCCCAGACAGCCAGGAUGUUGGCUUAGAAGCAGCCAUCAUUUAAAGAAAGCGUAAUAGCUCACUGGUCGAGUCGGCCUGCGCGGAAGAUGUAACGGGGCUAAACCAUGCACCGAAGCUGCGGCAGCGACGCUUAUGCGUUGUUGGGUAGGGGAGCGUUCUGUAAGCCUGUGAAGGUGUGCUGUGAGGCAUGCUGGAGGUAUCAGAAGUGCGAAUGCUGACAUAAGUAACGAUAAAGCGGGUGAAAAGCCCGCUCGCCGGAAGACCAAGGGUUCCUGUCCAACGUUAAUCGGGGCAGGGUGAGUCGACCCCUAAGGCGAGGCCGAAAGGCGUAGUCGAUGGGAAACAGGUUAAUAUUCCUGUACUUGGUGUUACUGCGAAGGGGGGACGGAGAAGGCUAUGUUGGCCGGGCGACGGUUGUCCCGGUUUAAGCGUGUAGGCUGGUUUUCCAGGCAAAUCCGGAAAAUCAAGGCUGAGGCGUGAUGACGAGGCACUACGGUGCUGAAGCAACAAAUGCCCUGCUUCCAGGAAAAGCCUCUAAGCAUCAGGUAACAUCAAAUCGUACCCCAAACCGACACAGGUGGUCAGGUAGAGAAUACCAAGGCGCUUGAGAGAACUCGGGUGAAGGAACUAGGCAAAAUGGUGCCGUAACUUCGGGAGAAGGCACGCUGAUAUGUAGGUGAGGUCCCUCGCGGAUGGAGCUGAAAUCAGUCGAAGAUACCAGCUGGCUGCAACUGUUUAUUAAAAACACAGCACUGUGCAAACACGAAAGUGGACGUAUACGGUGUGACGCCUGCCCGGUGCCGGAAGGUUAAUUGAUGGGGUUAGCGGUAACGCGAAGCUCUUGAUCGAAGCCCCGGUAAACGGCGGCCGUAACUAUAACGGUCCUAAGGUAGCGAAAUUCCUUGUCGGGUAAGUUCCGACCUGCACGAAUGGCGUAAUGAUGGCCAGGCUGUCUCCACCCGAGACUCAGUGAAAUUGAACUCGCUGUGAAGAUGCAGUGUACCCGCGGCAAGACGGAAAGACCCCGUGAACCUUUACUAUAGCUUGACACUGAACAUUGAGCCUUGAUGUGUAGGAUAGGUGGGAGGCUUUGAAGUGUGGACGCCAGUCUGCAUGGAGCCGACCUUGAAAUACCACCCUUUAAUGUUUGAUGUUCUAACGUUGACCCGUAAUCCGGGUUGCGGACAGUGUCUGGUGGGUAGUUUGACUGGGGCGGUCUCCUCCUAAAGAGUAACGGAGGAGCACGAAGGUUGGCUAAUCCUGGUCGGACAUCAGGAGGUUAGUGCAAUGGCAUAAGCCAGCUUGACUGCGAGCGUGACGGCGCGAGCAGGUGCGAAAGCAGGUCAUAGUGAUCCGGUGGUUCUGAAUGGAAGGGCCAUCGCUCAACGGAUAAAAGGUACUCCGGGGAUAACAGGCUGAUACCGCCCAAGAGUUCAUAUCGACGGCGGUGUUUGGCACCUCGAUGUCGGCUCAUCACAUCCUGGGGCUGAAGUAGGUCCCAAGGGUAUGGCUGUUCGCCAUUUAAAGUGGUACGCGAGCUGGGUUUAGAACGUCGUGAGACAGUUCGGUCCCUAUCUGCCGUGGGCGCUGGAGAACUGAGGGGGGCUGCUCCUAGUACGAGAGGACCGGAGUGGACGCAUCACUGGUGUUCGGGUUGUCAUGCCAAUGGCACUGCCCGGUAGCUAAAUGCGGAAGAGAUAAGUGCUGAAAGCAUCUAAGCACGAAACUUGCCCCGAGAUGAGUUCUCCCUGACCCUUUAAGGGUCCUGAAGGAACGUUGAAGACGACGACGUUGAUAGGCCGGGUGUGUAAGCGCAGCGAUGCGUUGAGCUAACCGGUACUAAUGAACCGUGAGGCUUAACCUUACAACGCCGAAGGUGUUU